rnacentral:ncRNA from 2 species
AACCUUAAUCAUCUCCGAGCCUGCCGACCUAAAGAUAACAGCUCCAAGGUCGAGGGCCUACGGGUCUCGCUGGAAACGGCGGGGCCUCCCGUAUUGGAAAGGAGAGUUCUUCCUCGCCGA